GAUGAACGCUGGCGGCGUGCUUAACACAUGCAAGUCGAACGAAGAUGCCGGAGUGCUUGCACUUUGGCAGACUGAGUGGCGGACGGGUGAGUAACGCGUGGGUAACCUGCCUUAUACAGGGGGAUAACAGUUGGAAACGACUGCUAAUACCGCAUAAGCGCACGGUAUCGCAUGAUACAGUGUGAAAAACUCCGGUGGUAUAAGAUGGACCCGCGUCUGAUUAGCUAGUUGGUGAGGUAACGGCCCACCAAGGCGACGAUCAGUAGCCGGCCUGAGAGGGUGAACGGCCACAUUGGGACUGAGGCACGGCCCAAACUCCUACGGGAGGCAGCAGUGGGGAAUAUUGCACAAUGGGGAAACCCUGAUGCAGCGACGCCGCGUGAGUGAUGAAGUAUUUCGGUAUGUAAAACUCUAUCAGCAGGGAANAUAAUGACGUACCUGACUAAGAAGCACCGGCUAAAUACGUG
rnacentral:rRNA from 1 species